UACGAAGGGGGCAAGCGUUGUUCGGAUUUACUGGGCGUAAAGGGCGCGCAGGCGGCUCAUUUUGUCAGGCGUGAAAGCCCCGGGCUUAACCUGGGAGGUGCGCUUGAUACUCGAGGGCUUGAGUGCGGGAGAGGAGAGUGGAAUUCCCAGUGUGGAGGUGAAAUUCGUAGAUAUCGGGAGGAACACCUGUGGCGAAAGCGGCUCACUGGACCGCAACUGACGCUGAGGCGCGAAAGCUAGGGGAGCAAACAGG
rnacentral:rRNA from 1 species